rnacentral:lncRNA from 1 species
UUGGCAGACAAAUCAAGAUGAGUGAGUUUGGAGAGGUUUCCUAGUGAAUGAGGUAGCUGACCUUCAAGAUUAUUGUAAGACAUACAAAUCAAGAUGAGUGAGUUUAGAGAGAUGACCAAUUUCUUUUGAGAUAGUCCCUUCUAGUGUAAUUUUUCUUAGAACAAGGCUUUCUAGAUUUUUGAAACAAGCCAAGUUGAGAGUAGACAAGUUGCGUGUUUUAAAAUCAUACUCCCAGGCAGCGUAUGUAGAAUCAUCAGAGUCUAUCUUAAUUGCUAUUAUGCUUCCAGCAUCGUUGCAAAAUAUACCAUGCCCAUGACAACGAUCAGAGAUAUUGAAGUUUGCAUCAGAAGUGUUCCACCAUCCACUAUUUAAUAUAGCAUUUGCUUCCAUUUGAAGUUGAUGAGAUGUCAUUGUGGCAGAUUGAGUUCCCUCAACCAAACCACAAAUUAUAAGAAGAAAGACCAUCCACAUUUUUGGACCAAAGAAAUUUGAAACUAA